rnacentral:rRNA from 1 species
UACGUAGGGGGCAAGCGUUGUCCGGAUUCAUUGGGCGUAAAGAGCGUGUAGGCGGCCAGAUAGGUCGGUUGUGAAAACUGGAGGCUCAACCUCCAGACGUCGACCGAAACCCUCUCGCUAGAGUCCGGAAGAGGAGAAUGGAAUUCCUGGUGUAGCGGUGAAAUGCGCAGAUAUCAGGAAGAACACCCGUGGCGAAGGCGGUUCUCUGGGACGGUACUGACGCUGAGACGCGAAAGCCAGGGGAGCAAACGGG